UAGGGAAUCUUCGGCAAUGGACGAAAGUCUGACCGAGCAACGCCGCGUGAGUGAAGAAGGUUUUCGGACCGUAAAACUCUGUUGGUAGAGAAGAACGUUGGUGAGAGUGGAAAGCUCAUCAAGUGACGGUAACUACCCAGAAAGGGACGGCUAACUGCGUGCCAC
rnacentral:rRNA from 1 species